AUUGAACGCUGGCGGCAGGCCUAAUACAUGCAAGUCGAACGAGUGGCGGACGGGUGAGUAAUGUCUGGGAAACUGCCUGAUGGAGGGGGAUAACUACUGGAAACGGUAGCUAAUACUGCAUAACAUCAGAUGUGCCCAGAUGGGAUUAGCUGGUUGGUGGGGUAACGGCUCACCAAGGCGACGCUCCCUAGCUGGUCUGAGAGGAGGACCAGCCACACUGGGACUGAGACACGGUCCAGACUCCUACGGGAGGCAGCAGUGGGGAAUAUUGCACAAUGGGCGAAAGCCUGAUGCAGCAAUGCCGCGUGUAUGAAGAAGGCCAUCGGGUUGUAAAUUACUUUCAGCGGGGAGGCGUUACCCACAGAGGAAGCACCGGCUAACUCCGUGCCAGCAGCCGCGGUAAUUC
rnacentral:rRNA from 1 species